AAUGUUCCAACGACUAGAAAAAAUAUUUAUAUCUAUACGCUCCUAUGAUAGUGAGAUAGUUGCAGUAAUUUUCUUCCAACCCUGCGCAGAUGUAACUGCGGUUUGAUGGCCUCAUAUUCUCCGCGUUCCGAAAAUAUGCGACUUCUUUAUUCUUCUAGUUGGAUCGGGCAAAACUGUCUUUGCGGUGGUGAAUAGCAUUCCCCGUCGUCCCCCCACCACCGAUAUGUUGACGGCGAAGGUUUGUCCUUCUGGUGUCCAAGGGUUCGAUCUUGUGGGUUUGAAUUCGGUAAGGGCCUAACUAUAUUUCUUUCUCCUUCAUUGUUGUGGGUUUAUGGGUUUCAUUUUCGACCGAUGCCUUCUCCAUCCUAUAAUUCGACGAAAAUUAUUCUUUCGGUGGUGAAUAUCGUUCCCGUCGUUCCCUACCGUUGAUAUGUUGAUGGCGAAGGUUUGUCCUUCUGGUGCACUAGGGUUUAAUCUCGCGGGUUUUAUCUUGGUAAGGGUAACUAUCUUUCGUUCUCCUACAUUCUUGUGGGUUUUGGGUUUCAUUAUUGUCCGAUGCCUUCUCCAUCCUUUAAUUCGACGAAAAUGAUUCUUCCGAUGGAUAAGCUUUUUGUACUGCUUGGAAUUAUGAAAAUUUGAAUCUUUUUCUGCCCAGAAAAGAACAUAGCGCCCUAAAGAGGGGUUUUCCAUAUCCUUUUAGGGUUUAGGGUUUGGUAUACCGUAUAUGAUAUGAUACGGGUUUGGUACAGCGUAUAUGAUAUGAUAUGAUACGGGUUUCAAAAUUCUGCACCCACAAGUCAUUGUGGCGAUAAUUGUGAAAGUAUGUCAAAAUGGGAUAUGUAGGUUAAAAUCUUGAAACAAUGAGCACUUAUGCAAUCUCUAUUACAGAACUGUGCUAAAGCAUGGUAAUUUUGUCUGCCUUUUUUUCCCAAUGACGUAAAAUAGGAAUGUUGAGAUACACAUUUCAUUUGGGGUGGUAUAAAUAAUUUUUCGUUGAAGAAAACCUCUGUUAUCUAUGUUCAGUUGGUCUUUAUGUCUUCAGAACCGUCCCUGAUCUUAUAAGCUAUCAAUUGGUUACAUAUUCUAAUCAAGCUUGCAUUCAUAUUAGGUCCUAGAAAGGGAACAUGCCUAGCUUGAUUUGCCUUUCUGCCUAUUCAUCUUGCUUAGUUUUGAAACUUUACAGUUUAAGGUCCUAAAAGCCUUUCUGCCUUUGUUGGAACAGUCCCUGAUCUUACAAGCAAUCAAUUGGUUAGAUUUCGAUUAAGCAUGCAUUUAUAUUAGGUCCUAGAAAGGGAGCAUGCCUAACUUGAUUUGCCUUUCUGCCUAUUCAUGUUGCUACAGUUCUAGAUCUUGACAGUUGAAGGUCCUAAAAGGGACUUUCAAUUGUCAUUUUGCCCUUCCACCUUUGUAGGAAUCGUCCCUAAUUUUAUUAGCUAUCAUUACUUAUAUUUCGAUUUUGCUUGCAUUCAUAUUAGGUCCUAGAAAGGAAAACAUGCCUAGCUUGAAUUGCCUUUUUGCUUGUUCAUGUUGCUGGAGUUUUGGAACUUGACAUUAGAAGGUCCUAGAAGGGACUUUUCAUAGUCAUUGAGACCUUCCUCUUUUGUCGGAAUCGUCCCUGAUAUUAUAAGUGAUCAAUUGGUUACGUAUUACGAUUAAGCUUGCAUUCAUAUUAGGUCCUAGAAAGGAAAACAUGCCUAGCUUGAAUUGCCUUUUUGCUUGUUCAUGUUGCUGGAGUUUUGGAACUUGACAUUAGAAGGUCCUAGAAGGGACUUUUCAUAGUCAUUGAGACCUUCCUCUUUUGUCGGAAUCGUCCCUGAUAUUAUAAGUGAUCAAUUGGUUACGUAUUACGAUUAAGCUUGCAUUCAUAUUAGGUCCUAGAAAGGAAAACAUGCCUAGCUUGAAUUGCCUUUUUGCUUGUUCAUGUUGCUGGAGUUUUGGAACUUGACAUUAGAAGGUCCUAGAAGGGACUUUUCAUAGUCAUUGAGACCUUCCUCUUUUGUCGGAAUCGUCCCUGAUAUUAUAAGUGAUCAAUUGGUUACGUAUUACGAUUAAGCUUGCAUUCAUAUUAGGUCCUAGAAAGGAAAACAUGCCUAGCUUGAAUUGCCUUUUUGCUUGUUCAUGUUGCUGGAGUUUUGGAACUUGACAUUAGAAGGUCCUAGAAGGGACUUUUCAUAGUCAUUGUGCCCUUCUGCCUUUGUUGGAAUUGUCACCGAUCUUAUAAGCGAUCAAUUGGUUACGUAUUCCGAUUAAUCUUGCAUUCAUAUUAGGUUCUAGAAAGGGAACAUCCCUAGCUUGAUUUGCCUCUGCCUAUUCAUAAUGCAUUCUGGGACUCGAUAGUUGGUCCUAUAUGGGACUUUUCAUUGUCAUACUGCCCUUCUGCCUUUGUUGGAAUCGUCCAUGAUAAUAUAAGAGACUAUUUGCUUACAUUCCGAUGAAGCUUGCAUUCAUAAUAGGUCCUAAAAAGGGAACAUGCCUAGCAUGAUUUGCCUUUCUGCCAUUCAUGUUGCUGCAAUUCUGGAACAUGACAGUUGAAGAUUUUAGAAGGGACAUUUCAUAGUCAUAUGGUCCCUUUUGCCUUUGUUAAAAAUUCAGGUUUUGGGAUGGUUCAAGUGAAAUGUGAAUAUUUAGUGGUGAGUAGACAUUGGAAAGGGGUCCUAGAAAGGAACUAUACAGACUGGUUGGACCUUCUACCUAUUCCAAUUAUGUCGAUUGAUGUCUUACAAUUUAUCUUUCAAGUGAAAGGGAGAAAGUGAGAUGUGUGAAGUGAACAUUUGAAGAUGGUCCCAGCAGGGAACCAUGCUGACUAGUCACGCUUCUGCCUCUUUUAACUGUCUUGUAAGAUCAUUUAUAUAAGUUUUUGUGCGCUGGCUUCAAGAACAUGAUAUUUUCUUCUAUGCUUCAGAGACUUCUCAUGAGUUGUUUGAAGUAGCUUAUAUAUUGAUGGGAAUUAAUCCCUUGAUCUUCUUUCCAAAUUGUUGGUAAUCUGAGGCUUUGUUGGUAUCUGAAGCUUGCUGCUGCAACGUUAGUACAUGUCUUCCAGAAUUUCUGUUAUAUUUUCAAAUUGCAUUCAAAUGGUGAUAUUUGUUGCAAGUUAUUCAGAGAAAAAACAGAUUAACCCUUAGGUGUAAUUUUGGUGGGCAGUUGCAUGAAUUGAACAAGUAGCAUAAGUUUUUUGCCAUUAGACCUUUGCUUCCCAAAUAUUGUGUUGGUAUUUACUGGAGGAUUCAGAGAAAAAACAGAUUAACCCUUGGUGAAUUAUAUUUCCUCUUCUAGAGCAUCAACUUGUGGAAUUGUAGAUGUUUCUGAAAGAACAAGAACAUCUUCUAUUAUAAUGUCAUCCUUCCAAGCAACCUACUACGAUAAAGUGUUAAUUAAAAAAGGCUUAUAACGAGAGCAACACUCAAGCUAGUGUAUUGAUUUGAGCUUGUGAUGUCAAAAUUGAUUUUCCUGAUUUAUUUGCAAUAUGGUGGUUGGUUGUUGAAUUUCCGACCUUUUGCUCUUGUUUCUUAUAUUUGAAAAGGGUCCUAGAAGGAAACCGAGUGCUUGUCCUUCUUCCUGAUGUACUAGUUGCUAUCUCAAAGUUCUUGUUUCAAGUGAAAGGUGAAAUUGGAUAUAGUAUUGAGUAAGGAUUUGAAGGAGGAUCUAGGGAAGAAACAGAAUAGCCAUUGGUGAAUCAUAUUUCCCCUUCUAGAGCAAUUUGAUUGUGAAAUUGUAGAUGUUUCUGAAAGAGCAAGAACAAGUAUUAUCAUGACAGCUAAUGAGUUGCCAAGUAUUUGCAAUGUGAUUCUUCAAUCCAACCUGUCAUGAUAAAGUGUUAACAACAAAUAAGUAUAACGAGAGCAACACUCUAGCUAGUGAAUUGCACGUGAGCUUGCGAUGUCAAAAUUAGUUUUCCUGAUUUAUUUGCAACAGUCCAUAGGCCAUAGCCUCUUAUGAUUUUCGAGUGUAGGUACAUGGUGGUUCAAUGGUGCUAACUUUUUGUUCUUGUUUUUUAUAUUUGAAAAAGGUCCUAGAAGGAAACAAUAUUGAGUGUCUGUCCUUCUACCCAUUUUAGAUGUACUGGUUGCUAUCUCGAAGUCCCCGUUUCAAGCGAGGUGAAAUUGAAUAUAAUAUUGAGUAAGGGUUUGAAAGGGGUCCUAGAAGGGAACUAUAUGACUGGUUGCCCUUCUGCCUCUUUCAAAGAUGGUGGUUGCUAUCUUGAAGUGCGUGUUUCAAAGAAAAUGGUAAUGAUGCUAGUUAAACAUUUUGAAAGGGUCAUAGAAGGGAACCAUGCAGAUUGGUUGCCCUUCUGCCUAUUUCAAAGGUAUUAGUUUUGAUUUUGAGAAUCAGAAGAUUUUUGGAUCUCUAGAAUAUGUUUGCGACCUUAUAAAUUAUGCAUGGUUGGCGCAUUUACGCUGAUAUAAGAAGCUUCUCAAAUCGUGAAAUGGUGGAACCCUGAGAAUGAAUUUCUUCACUUUCUGUGACUUAAAGACUUGAUAUGCUGAUUACUGCCCGGACCAACUUCUACAUGUGAAUGCUAAUUCACAGAUUCAAGAAGGGUACUAUAAAUACCAAAAGGUUACACGAAAGAUAUAAAUUCUUCUGCCCCUACGCCCUAGUGAUAUUUUUUUAGCUCAACUUUGUUACCAGUCAUCUCGUGAUCUGUUAUUUCUUCCGGAUGGACUCUACGAAGGUUGUAUUAAGGAGUAGCCUAUUCGAGUCACUUCCUCUACUUUUGUUGGAUGCAUGUAAAAUUCAAAAGUUCGUGAUGAUUUUUGUUCUGGUAUGCAAAGUUUACGGGCUGAACUGUGCAAAACUGAAGUAUUCAGAGAAGGAUUUUCUAAGCACAAGCUGAAAUCUCUUGCUAAUUACCCACUGGAAGGAGAAAUCCAAGUCAGUGGAACAUGUAUUUCAACGGGAUUCAUACCAAAAAAGAAGACAUUAAAACAAUGAAAGAAAGUGGCAAAUGUAUCCAUCAUUUACUGGAAAUUAUGUUUCCAGUUUCAACUUUCAAGCUGAAACUAUGCAGCCUAAAAUAGAGGUGUAGUCCAGUUUCGGAGCACAAAAGUCCUUCAAUUUACUACUAUAAGAAAGCUUGGAAAAUCCUUAAAUCUUUUGAUCAUAUGGUAUGGUUUGAGCUUUGUUCUUUGGAUGUUCUUUUCAAGUUUCUUCCACGCCUUGAAGUCCAGGAGUUACCAUUACCAUGAUUUAGGGCCUAGUUAGAGCAAAACAGAAUAACAUCUUCCAUGGAUGGUUCUGUGGAUUUUGAAGCCAUUUAGUGAUCUUAAGCACUGAUGCUCUGAAGUGUAUGGCUCCUGAUUUCUUUUGUGGUGCCUUGAAUAGCCCCUGAUAUAAUUUCGAUGAAAACACAACUUCUAUACAUAGACAAAGCUGCUCCUCCUCCAGCCUCGAAUAGCCCUUGAUAUAAUUUCUUUUGUGUGUGCUCUUGCUUGGUGUUGUAAGAGCAGCAAUUGAUAGAAUUCGGAUGCUGUCGGUACCUAUUCUUAAGUAUCUGUUCUUGGAGCUCCCCAGGCUAAAGAAUCCCAUCUAGUGGUAGCUGAAGUUCCUUCCAUCAAUUAGUAACAUGGUAAGAGCUUUCUCCUUCUCAGCAUUGUUAUGGACAUUCUUUGCAACUGACUAAUGUGUUCUUUAAACUAGUUAGUGAAAUGUCUAUGAGAGUCUCUUUGAAUCUAUACAUGAGCGAUAUGCAUACUUUUCUCUGAUGUCUGAUGUCUAUGUUAACCAUAAGUCGCUCGAAUUACACAAUUACUGUACUGACUCGACUCGUUUUUUUUGCAUUUGCUUUCAUCAUUUUGCAUCAUGCACUCAUUAAUUUAUAAUGUCAUAUGUGUUAUCUAAAUCAAAACUACUUUUGAUACAGAUACAGAUACGAACAAUUCUUGGCUUACCACAAAAAUGAAGCUGCACAAGGUACGUGGUUGAGUUUAAAUUUGAUGAGCUUUUAUUAUGAAAUGACAAAUGAUGAGGUAUUAAUCUUCUUUAUUGAUUUCUAACAAUAGAGUUAAUCCUAUACUUAUAGGGUUUACAGUAAAGGGUUUUGAGUCCUUUUCGGACUCAAUUACUAUAUCAAUAUAUUAACUUCCUAAUCAAAUACAGAAAAGGAACUUCUAAUUAAUAUUAAUCCUGCCGUUCUCAACACUCCCCGUCAAGCUUGAUGUAGGCAUUGUAUAAAUUGUAGAAAUCCAGAAUAAAGAUGAUUCUGGUAUGAUU
rnacentral:lncRNA from 1 species